rnacentral:rRNA from 1 species
UACAGAGGUGGCAAGCGUUGUUCGGAAUUACUGGGCGUAAAGGGCGCGUAGGCGGCCUUCUAAGUCAGACGUGAAAUCCCCCGGCUUAACCUGGGAACUGCGUCUGAUACUGGGAGGCUUGAGUAUGGGAGAGGGAUGUAGAAUUCCAGGUGUAGCGGUGAAAUGCGUAGAUAUCUGGAGGAAUACCGGUGGCGAAGGCGGCAUCCUGGACCAUAACUGACGCUGAGGCGCGAAAGCGUGGGGAGCAAACGGG